CCUGUUCCACGCGAUGUGCUUGGGGUCGAUACCGUGCCUUCGGGACUGCCGGGUCGGGAGCCGUGUCCGGGAUCCCCUGUGGUGCAGUUAAUGCUUUUUUUUGGUGUGUUUUAAGGUACCCGUGUGACGCGAGUGCUGCUGGAUUGGCCACAUCCCGGAAUGAGACACAUUCUCUGGGCUGCACCCAGAGUAUUCGCAGCCCUGGACAGGCCAUGAGGCUUUGGGCUGUGCAGGUUGGACAUUCCCGGACAUGACCUUGGCACCAGAACCCCAGCCUGGAUGAGCCAUGUCUGUCCCUGCACAAGGAUGGACACAUGGAUGGGCAGAGGAACCCCAGCCAUGCUGGGCUGUGUAGAGCCCCAGAAGUAGCAGGGCUGCCUGUGGUGAGGCUGAUGCUUCCACCUGCCCUGUGACAGUGUGAGGAGUGCAUGGCUCCAGGACGGACAUGGCCACAGACUGGGGGUUUGGGCCCUGUUUUGCUUUUGGGUUCAUUUUUGGGUUGGGUUUGGUUGGUUUGGGUUGUGUUUUACUUGUUUUGAUGUUGCUUGUUUGACUUGGGUUUGGGUUGGUUUGUGUGUUGGUUCAGGCUUCCAUUUCUUUCAGGCCCAGCUCCUGUUCAUUUGCAGCUCCUGCUGGUUAUGGUUCAGCUCCAGCUCACAGACAGCUCUGACUAGUUUGAGCUCCCAGGAGCUAAUUGUGCCACAUCUGUCCUUUCACAGGACAGAGGAGCCUCAGCCACAGUGUGUGGUGUGUGAAGUCCCAAGAAGCAGCCGGGCUGCUGCCUUGACACUGCAGCUGCCCUGACACUGCUGCUGCCCUGCCUGCGGUGCUCCAAGCACUGUACAGCACCAGCUUGGACACAGCUCCAGCCACAGCUCCUGAACAGCUCCAGUUCAGUUUUGGCUACAGCUCCUGUUGCUUUCUCUCUGGGUUGAGGUCCAUCUUCCAGAUGGCUCCAGCUCAUUUGCAGCUUCAGGCCCAGGCCCUGGAUAGCUCCGGUUCCGUUGUGGCUGCAGCUCAUGUCCACUUCUAGCCCUGUUUGCUGCUUCAGCUGCAGCCCCAGUCAGUUACAGCUUGUGCUUGUUGAACUGAGGCUGACCUGGGGCCAGGUCAUAAAUCAGUCACUGUCACGACAUGUAGAUGAAUAUAACCUGUCAUAAUUGCUCACUGUCCAGUUCUGGGCUAACAACCCCCCAGAACUGUGGUUGUAUAUGCCUUGAGUAAAUAAAAAG